rnacentral:rRNA from 1 species
GUUGACCUCAAAUAGGAGACCCCCCAACUUACUUCAUUAACGGAAA